ACUCUAAUACACAAAAGAUAACUUGUAACUCUUGCAUAUAAAAACAAAUUGAUAUUAUAUUGAUUUUUUACAUAUGCACAUAAAUUGAUAAUAAUAGAUUUUUCUUUUCUUACAUAUUCCACAAUGUUCAGAGUACCAGAGCUGUGAACUUCGUCUUCUUUGCUAUUUGAUCUACGAAGUACAACCCCUGCAUAGAUGCAGAGAUCCUAGAAAAAAAGCAGCACUUCCAUAACGAAGAAAAAUUAUCGAUUAAUGGAGAUUCGUCAUCGAUAGGACUUAUCAAGCGAACUCGUUAUUUCUUGUUACUAGAAAUUUAUCGCUUGACAAGAUCACAAAGAUAUACGGAAGGAAGUUCAUCGAGCUGACUGGUUAAAUUCUUGGAGGAUCAUUUGUCACGCGUUUUGUUGAGAUUUCAUCAAGGUCAUCUAGAAAGACAAAAGACGUAUUUUAAAGGACACGGCAAACUCGUUACGCCGUGCUAGCUCUUUCAUUCGACAAAUUUAAAUCACGGACUCGGAAGGAUCAUACGCGAUGACUUUCAAUGGAUUCGAGUAAUGACAUAGAGUGCUUCUCGGGACUUCCGUCGUCAAGUGGAACUGAUAAAUAUUCAUCGCCAGAGAGUAAAACAGCGAUCUAUGUACGUCACGAGCAUCAGGUAGAUCAUACUGAAGAGAAUGAGAAAUCGAUAUCUUGACGAACAAAAGAAGAUACGCCGAUUAAUUUUUCUUGAUGCAAUAUUCUCGAGUCGUCACUGACACAUUCAGAAUAAUUUGACGUUGAAAAGAAUAAAGGUGACGUCGUCGUUGUUGAUGUCGACGGUGCAAAGGAUUUCCAUGGGAUACGGCUUGCAAUCGAUAUGCUUUGACGGCAGACAAAGGUUGCCCUGCGUGAAAGAAAAAGGGCUGUGUUAUGUCGCGUGCAUAGUAAAACUCAUAUGUGUAUAGGUCGAUGUGUACUUACACAACAGAUACCAAUGAUAAUUAAAGAAAGAAGAACCUUUGUGAUCUUAUCAGAAAUGAACUUUUUAUUCAUUUGUUUGGCGAUGCUUACGUCAUUACUUCAUUAUAUAGAUCAUUUCCACACCGAAAUAAUUCAGAGACACCAUCCUCGUAACUUUGACGGCCUCGAGAGAUGUAUAUAAACAAGGACCUGUAUAUAUAUAUAUA